rnacentral:rRNA from 1 species
UACGUAGGGUGCGAGCGUUGUCCGGAAUUACUGGGCGUAAAGAGCUCGUAGGUGGUUUGUCGCGUUGUUCGUGAAAUCUCACGGCUUAACUGUGAGCGUGCGGGCGAUACGGGCAGACUGGAGUACUGCAGGGGAGACUGGAAUUCCUGGUGUAGCGGUGGAAUGCGCAGAUAUCAGGAAGAACACCAACGGCGAAGGCAGCUCGCUGGGACGGAACUGACGCUGAGGCGCGAAAGCGUGGGGAGCGAACAGG